AGUCGUAACAAGGUUUCCGUAGGUGAACCUGCGGAAGGAUCAUUAACGCGCAGGCCGGAGGCCGGCCCCCCAGGAUAGGGCCAAACGUCCGUCAGGGGUGAGCAGAUGUGCGCCGGCCGUACCGCCCCAUUCUUGUCUACCUUACUCGGUUGCCUCGGCGGGCCGCGCUCUCCCAGGAGAGCCGUUCGGCGAGCCUCUCUUUAUAGCGGCUCAACGCUGGACCGCGCCCGCCGGAGGACAGACGCAAAAAAAAAUUCUUUCAGAAGAGCUGUCAGUCUGAGCGUUAGCAAGCAAAAAUCAGUUAAAACUUUCAACAACGGAUCUCUUGGUUCCGGCAUCGAUGAAGAACGCAGCGAAAUGCGAUAAGUAAUGUGAAUUGCAGAAUUCCGUGAAUCAUCGAAUCUUUGAACGCACAUUGCGCCCCCUGGCAUUCCGGGGGGCAUGCCUGUUCGAGCGUCAUUUCAGCCCCUCAAGCCCGGCUUGUGUGAUGGACGACCGUCCGGCGCCCCCGUCUCUGGGGGUGCGGGACGCGCCCGAAAAGCAGUGGCCAGGCCGCGAUUCCGGCUUUCUAGGCGAAUGGGCAACAAACCAGCGCCUCCAGGACCGGCCGCCCUGGCCUCAAAAUCUGUUUUAUACUUAUCAGGUUGACCUCGGAUCAGGUAGGGAUACCCGCUGAACUUAAGCAUAUCAAUAAGCGGAGGAA
rnacentral:misc_RNA from 1 species